rnacentral:rRNA from 1 species
AUUGAACGCUGGCGGCAUGCUUUACACAUGCAAGUCGAACGGCAGCACGCAAGUGCUUGCUCUUUUGGUGGCGAGUGGCGAACGGGUGAGACAUGCAUCGGAACGUACCGAGUUAUGGGGGAUAACUGUCCGCAAGGAUAGCUAAUACCGCAUACGCUUUGAGAAGGAAAGUGGGGGCUCUUCGGACCUCACGUUAUUCUAGCGGCCGAUGUCUGAUUCGCUAGUUGGUGGGGUAAAGGCCUACCAAGUCGACGAUCAGUAGCGGGUCGGAGAGGAUGGUCCGCGACACGGGGAGUGAGACACGGCCCAGACUCCUACGGGAGGCAGCAGUGGGGAAUGUUGGACAAUGGGCGCAAGCCUGAUACAGCCAUGCCGCGUGUCUGAAGAAGGCCUUCGGGUUGUAAAGGACUUUUGUUAGGGAAGAAAAGGAUAGUGUUAAUACCAUGAGCUGCUGACGGUACCUAAAGAAUAAGCACCGGCUAACUACGUG